rnacentral:rRNA from 1 species
AACGAACGCUGGCGGCAUGCCUAACACAUGCAAGUCGAACGAGACCUUCGGGUCUAGUGGCGCACGGGUGCGUAACGCGUGGGAACCUGCCCUUAGGUUCGGAAUAACUCCCCGAAAGGGGUGCUAAUACCGGAUAAUGUCUUCGGACCAAAGAUUUAUCGCCUUUGGAUGGGCCCGCGUUGGAUUAGCUAGUUGGUAGGGUAAAAGCCUACCAAGGCGACGAUCCAUAGCUGGUCUGAGAGGAUGAUCAGCCACACUGGGACUGAGACACGGCCCAGACUCCUACGGGAGGCAGCAGUGGGGAAUAUUGGACAAUGGGCGAAAGCCUGAUCCAGCAAUGCCGCGUGAGUGAUGAAGGCCGUAGGGUUGUAAAGCUCUUUUACCCGGGAUGAUAAUGACAGUACCGGGAGAAUAAGCUCCGGCUAACUCCG